UGGAUGAGUGAUAAGUCCGGUAUAGGUUGCUUCUAGUGUUCCCAUUCAUCUGUUUGGCUAAGCUAGAACAUAACAAGCCUAUGAGGCACUCUCAUCCG
rnacentral:ncRNA from 1 species